ensembl:lncRNA
AACCUUGCAGCACUGAGGACGUGGGUGCUUUGCACGUUUCUCCGCUGAACGCUCAGAAAUCCCAGCCUGAGAAGCUCCGAUCUGAGUGGAACCGGGGAAUCCCAAAGCGCGGGAUAACCUGACAGAUAGCGUGUCCCGCCUGCCUCCGGAGAAGGCGGGGCAAAGCGCUUAAGAACCCGGGGGCCGGGGGGUCGCGGUGGAUCCGGCCCCUCGCCUCGCAGGAUCACAGCCCUUCCGUGGCGCCUUUGCCAGACAGGCGGAGGGCGGUACCGGCCCGCAGGGCCCGGGGAGCUCAGUCGAUAGAGCAUCAAACUUUUAAUCUGAGAGUCCAGGGUUCGAGUCCCUGUUUGGGCGAAGCCUAUUUUAAAAUCCACACUCGCUUUUCCGGAGUCCCGAGCGAGCCCCGGGUGUUGGGGGAAACCCGGCUGGGCCCAGGCUGGGAGUUCAGAGAUGGGGCGAGACGCAGCCGGCUUUGCAGAUUGCUUUGUAUCAGUUUUCCCUAUGAACUGACAUGCAGUACUUUUCUGUUCAAAAAACCAAUGCCCCGUGGCCUGUUGUCAGGAUGUGCUGCUUCGCGUCCGCAAGUAUUAAACCACGGAGCUCAGGAGAAGCCAGGGCUAAGGCCCUGGCCGCCUGUGAAUCCGGGGAAAGACCCAUGUUGGGGGCCGGCUUCGCGUCUGUCGCUGCGGGGCACCGGCAACCUGCCGAGACCUGGGACCGAACCUAGGACCUUUUAAUCUUCAGUCUGACGCUCUCCCAACUGAGCUAUUUCGGCAGGGACGAACGCUUCCUUGCACGUGCCUAGGGGAAUUUGAAACAGAAAGAAUUCGUUUCCCUUCUCUCCAACUUUUCCUCCAAAUGUUGCCUCCCGGAGCGCCCUGCUUUGAGCUGUGAGGCUGGAGAACAGCGGGGAGCAAGGAGGCCCGGCCUGGCCGCCCUUCACCGCCCCAGGCCGGCGGUGCCCAACCCCGCCCUGCUGCAGCAGCGGCCGGGCUCCGCUCCAAAGGCCGCGCAGUGCCGCCGAACGGAGAGCGCCUCUCGUCCGCGCCCGGACAGGCCGGCCGCAAGGUCGGGGCUGAGACAGAGCGACCACCACGGCUGGAGGCCUGGAGGAGGAGGAGGAGGAGGACCGGGUAGGGGCGCUCGGGCGCACUCCGGCUCUGCCUCUCGUCCCGGAGCCCCGACUUGGCCCCCGCUGUCACCCGCAGACGUGCGCGGCGCCCCCAGGCCUCGGCGCGGCCGUGCGGACAUCGGCCCCGGGGCAAGGUGGCCACCGAGGAUCCGAACACGGCUUUCUCUAAAUGCCGCCGACACAGGUACCCCCAACACCGGUUCUCAUGGUGCAAAAAUAACUUAAAAAGCAGCUGCACCACGAACAGGGACUCGAACCCUGGACCCUCAGAUUAAAAGUCUGAUGCUCUACCGACUGAGCUACCCGGGCUCACAACGUGUUCUUCUGCUCCAGUGCCUUAAGAGUGCUCCGCUUCUCUGCGAACCUGCAGACGCCUUCCCGGUGGAUUCUGGACCCCGCCCCGCCCGCGAUCCCCUCGGUUCCGAAGCCGCGAGCCGCGCAGAGGGACUACACGCAGCCAGCGAGGGGAGGCACCCAUCUGGGCCGGGCUGCGGAUGCAGAUCUGGACGCUGAGACCCCGCCCCGAAAGAUGAGGCUGCGCCCCGCCCGGCCGCGAGCAGGAGGAGCCAAGGGUCCCAGCCGCAGCGCACGGCCAAGGCCGGGACCCGAGGGCAGCCACGUCCCAGUCCGCAAGCCGAGAAACGGACAAGGAGUGAAGCGAUCCCGGUCACGCCCACCGAAGGGUACGCCCUCGGCCACACCCCACCCACGGCCGGCCUCUCGGCCUCCCUCGCCCCGCCCAUAGCCGGCCCCGCGCACGCGCAGCUGGGGCCUCGGUCCGCCCCAGGACGCACCCGGACACCUCCGGCUUUCGGGCCUGUGCUCUUCCCGGGCUAGCUGGAUGUCACCUCCCUUUCUGUUCCCUUGCCCUCCUUCCUCCCAGCACCUGACUCUCGUAAUAAAAGAAUAGAAAGAGAAAAACAAGUGUAUGAACGUGUGUCUCAUGUACAGAAAGGGAGAUGCCAGGAAAUGAGUCAUUCUUAAAGACGCGGAGGGCUUGGAACUCCAGUUUGUACGGCAUCGUCAGAAAACAAAAUUUGGGGCGCGAUGACGACGCCAGGAAAACCUCGGGUUUCCAGGGACAGCCAGAUGACUCGGCCCGGGACCUGCGGCCUCCGGCAGCCCCAGCACGCCUCGCUGCGACUCCGCUCCGCGCUGAGAACGGCUAGGGCUUCGAGGGCAAAGGCCCAGGUUUCCAGGGGCGACUCCCCCCGUGAGGCCGAGGUGGACGAUCUCGAGGCUGAGGGCAGCAGUGCAGUCUCGCUCCCCCCUUCCUGGAUUCGGUCGUGCUGAGAGUGGCGGGUUAGAGACAACUGGGAUCAGGGUGCGACGCCGCUGGAUUCCUUCAGAGCGGAAAGCUGUUACCUCAGGGCAGCCGGGAAGCGGAGCACGGAAGAGCCAGGGAGGGCCUCAGGGUGGCGCUGCAGCCCAGCUGGAGGGUCGAGAUGUACCCUUCGAAGACAACCGCACGCAGUGCCCACCUCAUCCAACUAGGCUGCACUGCCCAGUGAGCCCACUGAGCUAUUAAUCUACCACGAAGUGACCCACGUGGUGAGGUGGAGCCUCAGAUCCAUUCAGUUACUCAGAAUUCCACUGGCCACAACAGGACCCCCUGCACUACGGGGCUUUGGGGGGACAUUUGGAUUCCAGCCGUAAGAGAUAGAGAAGAAAACAGACUUAGAGGCGGAUGGAUUUUAAGAACUUGGUCUAAACAAUUGUGGAGGUGGAGAGGUUCAAAACCUGUGGAGCAGGUUUAGCAAUCUGCAAUCUAAGUGAGCUGAUGCGGCAGUCCAUUCCGCAUUCCACGGGGCAUGGAGCUGGAGACCCAGGCGCUCUUCCUGUCUGAGUUCUGAGAGAGCCUUCUUCCUCGCAGAGCUUUGCCCUCCGGGGCUUCCCAAUAACCACAUGUCCUCAAAGCCUGCUGAUGCAAAUGCUCAUCAAAUCUUUAAAAGCAGAUACCUCCCCAAGAACUUCUAGACCAAGCAACUGGUUGCUGCAGUCCGACCACGCAUGCUCAUGCGAAACGCCCAGGACCUCAGGCCGACCCGGUCGCUCAGAGCCGCCUGUCCACGUAUUUGGCCACCAUCUUGGUUUCCUUGCUUUUGUUCAUCGCUGGAUUUUCCCCAAACCCCUAAUAAAACGCAUCUGUCCACCCAAGAACCAAAGCCUGUAGAGGAUGGAGCCCCUCCUCGGUAGGCAGCUUAGCGGAUGAACAGGAGGGGGCUGCAAAGCGUCAGUCUCCCUUUUGCCUUUGAGACCCGGAUCUCACCACUCUCCCCAAGGUUCCUCCUGCCUGGCCUGGCCAAACCCAAGGAGCUGCCGCAGCCAAGUGUGUGUCUGUCGCAUCCCCUGAGGGCGGCCCAGCGUCUUACAAAAGUUGCUUUGCUGUCCUUUGCUAGUUUUAAAAAUUAGGCUCCAGUCCGGGGCCUCCAGACUGCCCUGUGCUCCACCUGAACCCCACAGGGGUGUGGACAGCUCCUGGUGACAGAUGAGGGCUCCUGCUGGGGGUCCCCUGGUGAUUCUGCCCUUGGGCUCAUCCUUCCCAGGCACAGACAGGUAGGUGAUGGAAGCAGAUUGCUUUGCACGCUGUGAGGCUUUGAGGAUCGAAAUCGGAUAGGUCUGCUUGGGGAAGGAAGUGAGCAGGUUUCCUGGGCCAGGCACAGCCCCUGAGCUAUGGCCAGGGUCUGGGUCGGCCGAACCCUACAGCGCCCUGCAGAGCAGACCUCGAUCCUGGGGUCCGCAGGGAGGGGACCGUCAGACCCAAACCCAGGGAGCUUAGCUGACUUCCACUCAGGAGUUUAAAAGAAGCACCGAGUGUGGGAGAGGUAACGCCCAGAAAGUGACUGAGCAACUCGGGAUUAUUUCCAAAGUGCAGAGCAGCUGUGAGGUUUAUAAAACCACUGCCGAAACCCAGGAUUGAACCAGGGACCUUUACAUCUUCAGUCUAACACUCUCCCAACUGAGCUAUUCCAGCUGCACCCCAGUGGCCCAUUCUUCUAUGUAUUACAAUGAAGCAUUUGUUUUAUAGCACCGGAAGAGCUCAUUACGCAAGUUUAGCCGGAGGCAAACAUUUUACACCAGUUAUGGAAGAAGCGAAGGCGAGGACCUGGUUUACAGAGGAAAAACUGAUAGAUAACUACUUUUCUAAGGCUUUUAAUUGCCUUGAAAUCUUUCUCAUAUAAAAAUAAUUCAUGGGGACCCCACUCCCCGCAUUUAUAUGGACCUGUUUAAUGCUUAUAACUUCACGUCAGCCCAGAAACAGCUGGACUGCCUGGACAGCGCCGUCUGUUUAGCAGACAUUCCCUCUAGGUCUCACCUUUUCUCCUUGAUUUUAUUAUGCAGAUAUUUACAUAUAUGUGUAUAAAUGUGCUGCUCUUGUAUGAAGGCAGAUGUUACAAGGUCAAAAGUUAUGAACAUUUCAGUUAUUUUUUUACAUAUGUAAUCAAUUUGGAUACCAGAAAUGCUUAGAAGAGGAUUUGGCAUGUGCCAAGCCCUGGGUUUGAUCCUGAACAGUGUAAAAAGAGAAAAAGAAAGAAAGAAUACAACAAAACAGAAGCAAAAAGACACAGAAAGGCCACCUGUAAAGGUUUCACGGGAGACUUCGAUUGUUAUCACGUCUUGUGGUAUCCACGGCAUAGUAUUCAUUAAAAGCACUGAUUUGCUAAACCUCACAUUAAAAAUAUACUUUAACUUGCUG